rnacentral:rRNA from 1 species
GUAGGUGGCAAGCGUUGUCCGGAAUUAUUGGGCGUAAAGCGCGCGCAGGUGGUUCUUUAAGUCUGAUGUGAAAGACCCCCGGGCUCAACCGGGGAGGGUCAUUGGAAACGGGGGAACUUGAGUGCAGGAGAGGAAAGUGGAAUUCCACGUGUAGCGGUGAAAUGCGUAGAUAUGUGGAGGAACACCAGUGGCGAAGGCGACUUUCUGGCCUGUAACUGACACUGAGGCGCGAAAGCGUGGGGAGCAAACAGGAUUAGAUACCCUGGUAGUCCACGCCGUAAACGAUGAGUGCUAAGUGUUGGGGGGUUUCCGCCCCUCAGUGCUGCAGCUAACGCAUUAAGCACUCCGCCUGGGGAGUACGGUCGCAAAGACUGA